AAAUUUAAAAAUAUUAAUAAGAAAAAUAAUCAUGUAAGUUUCUUUUAUUUUAUUUUUUGUGGAAAAAUAAAAAUGGAAUUUAGAAAAAUUCAAAACAAAACAAAAAAAAAAAAUAGAGAGAGAAAAAGUUGUGGCAUGAGUGAUGGGUGUGUAUGGGAGUGAGUGAGAGCUGUGAAAGGGAAGAGUCUCAGAGAGUGCAGAAGUUAUCAGAGUUUUGCAGACUCACUCAUUAUUUGAUCUCUG
rnacentral:lncRNA from 1 species